GACGUAGGGUGCGAGCGUUGUCCGGAUUUAUUGGGCGUAAAGAGCUCGUAGGCGGCUCGUCGCGUCGACCGUGAAAACCCGCAGCUUAACUGUGGGCUUGCAGUCGAUACGGGCAGGCUAGAGUGUGGUAGGGGAGAUCGGAAUUCCUGGUGUAGCGGUGAAAUGCGCAGAUAUCAGGAGGAACACCGGUGGCGAAGGCGGGUCUCUGGGCCGAUACUGACGCUGAGGAGCGAAAGCGUGGGGAGCGAACAGG
rnacentral:rRNA from 1 species